AACUGCAUGAAGCAUUGCAAGACCGAAAUAUUUUGCAAACCAAAGUGGUAGUAUAAAUAGACGAAAUUUUUGAUGAUCUCAAUUUCAGGUCCAGGAGGGCUACUAACAUCAAUUAUAAGGAAUGUUUUGUUGUGAAAACAGUGAAAAAAUAUGUUAGGAACACAUGGAUAACUGAUGCUGCAUGGUGUCCAUGUUAUGAAAAAGAAGAUAUGAAACAAAAGCCCAUGAGAAAAUGUCAACAUCAAUCAUUUAUGAAUGAAGAUGGAGUCUCUAGCCUAAAAUUUCUUGAGAUAAUCAGUGUUGCCUGGUUCAUCCAAUCAGAAUGAUCACUCCAUUUGCAGACUAUCAGGUUCCAAUCUGAAGUAUACAAGGGAAGAGUAAAAUCUUUUUCAUUCCUAUUUACAAACACUUACUAGAUCCAGAAGAAUAUCCUGAUUGUUUUGUGCACCAUAAGAUGAAUUUCAAUCUGACACAUAAUUCUGAAAAAUGGAGUGGAACACCAUGAACACUGGAUGGUCUUCUUCAAGCUGGCAUGUCUUUGUCACAAUAUCUUGACUCUGCAUUGCCAUCAAAACUUUGCAUUCCUUAAAAUACAAAGACAAUUUUUAUAAACUAAAACAACAGACUUGAUAAAAAGGCUAAUAUUAAAAAAAAAAACGUGUCAUUAGGCCAAAAAAAAAAUUAAUUUCUUGGUUCUCAGGCCCUCCCUCAUCUCUUCCAAGGGUGCCUCAUUGACCCUUUUUAUUGCUAAAUCAAUAAAAUAAAAACAACAAAUCACCUCCCUCAUCAUUUUUUGAGGUUUUGUACAAUGUAAAAAGCUGCCUCAUCAUUUUUUGGGGGCAAUAAAAAGUAAAAAAAAAUGCCUCCCUCCCUCAUCAUAUUUCUUGAAAAAAGGCCUGAGAACCAAGGAAUUAAUUUUGCAUGGCCUUAUUUACCCCAUUUUUUUUCCUUUUUAAUUAUUUUAUGAAAUUAAAACCCUUGCGAAAAUUAGAACCUGUGACUUGCUGUCAAGCAGAGGUGUCUGGAAAUAAGAUAAACGGCUCCUUUAAGGGUAGGAUAACCAGAUGAUGUAGAUCAGUCACUGCAACAACAGAAAUAGAACCUCUGUCAGCCGUGAAGUCACCUUCAGGAAGAAUGCCGAGAAUAUCUGAAUGCUAUGGAUUCAUGGUGUCAUCAUACUGUAUAUAUCCACCACUGAAGCCUAAGAUAUAAAUGUUCGAAAGUAAUUAUAGUGAUCAUAUUUCUGGUACAGUGACAGCAAAGUUUAAGUAUUUUGUGAAUAAAAAAAUUGAAUCCACA